rnacentral:lncRNA from 1 species
GGUGGAUUCCCUGGAAUUGGAAAGAGUGAGAAAGUUUUGGAGCUGAACUUAUUCAAGUAUGGUAGUCUUGUAUAUCAUAGGAAGAUAGGUAAGUUGUUGGUCUCUAACACUGAAAUAGCUAAGGGGAGCAAUGGCACUAUCGUACUCGAGGGAAUCUAUGAUGGGCGCCCCGUAGCUGUUAAACGACUUGUCCAGACCCAUCACGAAGUGGCUGUGAAAGAAAUUCAGAAUCUUAUUGCCUCUGAUCAACACCCAAAUAUUGUUCGUUGGUACGGGGUGGAGUACGAUCAAGAUUUUGUUUAUCUCGCUCUGGAGCGUUGCACCUGUAGCUUAUAUGAGUUUACAUCAUCAUUUUCCAGCUCCUACCAAAAGCAAUGUAUCUCGCUCUUGAGCGUUGCACCUGUAGCUUAUAUGAGUUUACAUCAUCAUUCUCCAGCUCCUACAAAAAGCAAUUUUCUGGAGAUGACCAGGAUGCCGUGUUGUUUAACUGAUUGCACCAUAAAAUUUCAGUGGAAAUCUGGAGAUAAGGAGGACUUCCCG